rnacentral:rRNA from 1 species
CCAGACUCCUACGGGAGGCAGCAGUGGGGAAUAUUGCACAAUGGGGGAAACCCUGAUGCAGCGACGCCGCGUGAGUGAAGAAGUAUUUCGGUAUGUAAAGCUCUAUCAGCAGGGAAGAAAAUGACGGUACCUGACUAAGAAGCCCCGGCUAACUACGUGCCAGCAGCCGCGGUAAUACGUAGGGGGCAAGCGUUAUCCGGAUUUACUGGGUGUAAAGGGAGCGUAGACGGCAUGGCAAGUCAGAUGUGAAAGCCCGGGGCUCAACCCCGGGACUGCAUUUGAAACUGUCAGGCUGGAGUGCAGGAGAGGUAAGUGGAAUUCCUAGUGUAGCGGUGAAAUGCGUAGAUAUUAGGAGGAACACCAGUGGCGAAGGCGGUCUGCUGGACAGCAACUGACGCUGAGGCGCGAAAGCGUGGGGAGCAAACAGGAUUAGAUACCCUUGUA